CUACCCCUACGGGAGGCAGCAGUGGGGGAUAUUGCACAAUGGAGGAAACUCUGAUGCAGCGACGCCGCGUGAGGGAAGACGGUCUUCGGAUUGUAAACCUCUGUCUUUGGGGAAGAAAAUGACGGUACCCAAAGAGGAAGCUCCGGCUAACUACGUGCCAGCAGCCGCGGUAAUACGUAGGGAGCGAGCGUUGUCCGGAAUUACUGGGUGUAAAGGGAGCGUAGGCGGGCGAGAAAGUUGAAUGUUAAAUCUACCGGCUUAACUGGUAGCUGCGUUCAAAACUACUUUCAUUGAGUGAAGUAGAG
rnacentral:rRNA from 1 species